AUGCAAGUCGUACGAGAGUUUUUAACUCUAGUGGCGGACGGGUGAGUAACACGUGAGAAUUUACCUUUAGGAGGGGGAUAACAGCGUAUCAAUAGAUAUUACGGAAACGGCUGCUAAUACCCCAUAUGCUUUUGAGUGAAAUAGAUUUAUCUGCCUAAAGAGAAGCUCGCGGCUGAUUAGCUUGUUGGUAAGGUAAUGGCUUACCAAGGCGACGAUCAGUAUCUGGUUUGAGAGGACGAUCAGACACACUGGAACUGAGACACGGUCCAGACUCCUACGGGAGGCAGCAGUGGGGAAUUUUCCGCAAUGGGCGAAAGCCUGACGGAGCAAUACCGCGUGAGGGAAGACGGCCUAUGGGUUGUAAACCUCUUUUUUUCAGGGAGGAAUUCAAUGACGUGUACCUGAGGAAUAAGCAUCGGCUAACUCCGUGCCAGCAGCCGCGGUAAUACG
rnacentral:rRNA from 1 species